UGUAAUUGACAGAGGUAGCUUAUCUUCAAAUGAUAAGUUUGAGAAAUACUCUUAGAACCUGAUCUAGUUAAUACUAGCGGAGGAAGUUCAAAUUAUGGCAUCU
rnacentral:ncRNA from 2 species